rnacentral:sRNA from 1 species
UUCUUCUCACCUUUUGAUUGUUGCUCAGAAAGCCAGUGAAUUUAUAGUGGCUAUCGAGCAGCAAUCAAAGAUUGAAGGAGGG